GGGAGAUAAACAAGAACGAAGGCCGUUCUUCGCAUCGCACAUAUCAGUUCCAGAUUUGGAGAGAGAGAGAGAUCCAAAGGUCGAAGAACAUAUUGCAAAGAGGCAGGUGGACAAAACACGCUUUAUGGUACUUGCUGCAGAUUAAUUUUUCCAUUGAUAUCUUUCUUUCUUUCUUUUUUAUCUGCCAAAAUCUUUAUAAAGAUUGUGUGAAAAUAUACGAUGCCUUUUGUUGAAUUCUCAUUAGAUUAAUCUUGCACGGCCUGCUAUUCUUUGGGUAUCUAAUCUCAUCAUUCUCUCCUUCCUUUUUAUCAAAAAUUUAAUUUAAUUCUAAAUAUGAAAACUGAUGUAUAUGUUACACACUUAUCUGUACUUAUAAACUUGAUAUAUAUUUUUAAAAUUUUGCAAUUUUCUACUUAAUUUAGUGAAAACAUUUUCAUCGCAGGUACAAUCGAAAUUUGAGGUACUUGGAGCAAACAUGAAAAUUUUGAGUUUAAUUGGAGUCGGUUCGAAUCAAUUUAAAACUAAUGGAGAGUGAAAUUUGAUUUAUGAAAAAUUUGGAGAGUGAUUUGCACACUUUCGAAACUUGAAAAGGACCUAUUUUGAAUGAGUAGGGAGGUUUGGGGACCAAUUGCGAUAAUUAAGGGAUCAAAAGAUUUAGACAAAAACCAUACAAACACUUUGUGGUCCAACCGUGAUAGGCAAAGUGUUGUCCAACCAUGGCAAACCUGUAUUUAUAUUUUUCUAUUUUGUUUUAUUUUCGUAAGUAUUUUAAUCUUUUUGAGCACACGAUUCAAGGCAGUCUAAGUAUAUAAAUACCUAUUUUGGGUCAAGAAAAGUGGGAUACACAAGGUGAAAAAAAUGAAUAUACAAGAUAAUAGAGAAGACAAAAGCUAGUGUUUCAAGAACUUGGCGUUAACAAUGUUGAUUCUUUGUUAAUCUUUUUUCUCUAUUUUUCUUUUGAACCCCCCGGCGACAUAUUUCAAAACCUUGUGUAUGUAUUCUUCUAUGAUGUGUAACUAAAUUAUUGGUUGGGAUGAACGAUAUAACCUCAAUUUGAACCUUCAAUUUUAAUUCUCAAGGUUGAAAAAAUUAAUUAUUUUAUGUAUUGUUUUUACUUCUUUUUCUUGAUAUACUGAUUCAUAAUUUGUGGAUGGUAACAGAUGAAGAGGUAAGUUAUAUAUUUAGAUCAUGUGGUAAAAUGGGCAACUGAGUAAAAGUAGAGAUAUACUUUUUUUAUUAUUAUAAUUUUUAAUUGUUCUUAGUGAUUUGUCGCAAUUAGUUUAGGCUUAUUCAGAUUUAUAUAAAGAUAUAGUGAGUUGACUCAGUUAAAUAUGAUUGAUUGAACUCAUAAUAAGUAAAUUGAUUGAUUGGUGAAUUCAAUAUAAUACAACUUUAAGAAUUGAACUUGAAGAGUGAGAUUAAAUGUGAUAACUAUGAUAAAAUCAUAAGUUUUAACCAUAAUGUCGAGUGGUUUGUCCUCAAUUCAAAGAAAACACGCUCAUAUAAUUAUUUUUACUUUCCUAGUUAAUUUUAGUUUUUAAUCAAAAACUUGCCAUCAAUGCUUAUCUUAUUCAAAUAGGAUAUAUGAAUAAUUAGAUUAAUCAUUAAAUAGAUAAUUGUCGUGGGAACGACAAUUCGGAUUCUCUAGGUCUUACUAUUUUAGGUGAUUAUUUUAAUUUAAUAUUGGUUUAAGUUAUUUCUAGCUUUUGUUUGAUUUUUUGAUUUUUUAAAAGUUUUCGUUUUUAACUGAUCUACCUAUAUUUCUUGAUUUUAUUGUGGGUCGCAGAAUGAAGAGAAGCGAAAGGCCAACAACAGCAUGAAAUGAAAGAUCUGAAAUUGAUGAAGACGACAUGUUUGUGGGAGAUCUCAUCACGAAGCAACGAAGGUAAAUUUUACACCCAAAAAAAUAUAUAUAUAUCAGACUCCACGGGUCAAUUUUGGGGAGAAAAAUUCAUUUGAUGGAAAAUCAGUAGUUUUAAAACUUAUGAGAAAUUGUGUCUCUCCACCUAUUAAUGUGAAAACAUUUCUGUCCUUCGACUUAGCCAAAAUUAAAGAGGCCACGAAAGAGAGAGACAGUUUCUUCAUAGAUUGAUAUUUUUAGGAUCAAGAUAUACUUUCCAAUUAAUUUAAUGUGAAAACAUCAUUAAAUUAAGAAUAUAAAGUAAAAUAAUUUUGAAAAUUAGGUUUAUGUAAUGUACAAUUUGCAUUAUCGAAAUUUACAAGUAUAAUAAUAGCAAUAAUUCAAACUUUUUAAUGACAUAGUAGCACUUCAUAUUACAUUCUUUAAAAUUCAUUUUUUUUCCUUCUCAAAUUCAUUUUUAAUCAUAUAUUAGCCUAAUAAGAUAAUUUUACAAAUAAAUCAAAAUUUUUUCCUACACAUCGGUUAUCGAAAAUGAUGUUGAGAGAAAAGAUUGAAUGAAAAAGUUGACUGUAUUUUAAAUUGAUAAAUGAUAGAGUGUCACGUGGAUAUUAUGUAAUCUCUUAUGCACACCUGACGUACAUGUAGCAAUGUCCUCUCUAAAAAAAAUCACUUUUUACAAAAUUCAUUCUAAUAAAGUUACAUAAAAAAAUUGCACAUUUAUUUUUUCGAAACUCAAUUUGAAUCGAUCAUUCACCUAACAAAAUAUUAUUACAUGCAAAACCAAAACUAUUUUCUACACAUGUUCUUUUAAAUCACUUUUCACAAAAUUCAUUCUUAGAAAAUGGGACGAAGUGGAACAAUAAAAAUAACAUAGGAUCAAACAAUUAAUAAUUAAUUCAAAACAUGAGUUUUAUUUUAUUAGUCAAAAGCAUAAUCAGACUCACUUAAAAUAAAGCUGAAGAACUUAUUAUUUAGCAGUGCAUUGUUAGCAAAACUACAACACCCAGACACACACUCUCUGUAUAUACGUCUAGAUUACGUUAUUAUAAUUAAGUGAUCCUACUUCUACUAAUCAUAAUGCAAUAAAAAUGCAUUAUUCACAGUUAUAUAAGAAGUAGGGUUUUAAUUAAACCCAUAAGGCACCAGCCCGUUUGAGCAUUGGCUUUAAGGAUUGUUGGAGAUGG
rnacentral:lncRNA from 1 species